GGGCGGAUGGCACGUUUACGUUGAACAAAUGUGAGUGCUCAAACCAGGCCGAUGUGGCCUGAAACGCUAAACAUGGAAUAGUGAAAUAGAACUUCGGUUCUAUUUCAAUUGUUUUCGAAUCUGAAUUGACGAUCAAGAGAGACAGGCGGGGACGUUUUUAUGUUUGCGCUACAGGUAAAAUUCAUGGACCGUAAUUUGACAAUCUAAAGCGAAAGCAUUUGUCAAUCAUAUUUUCAUUGGCUAUAAGUAAAAGUCAGAGGCUCGAAGACGAUCAGAUACCGUCCUAGUUCUGACCAUAAACGAUGCGAACUGACGAUCCGUGGUGGUAGUAUUUUACAAUCCCCACGGGCAGUCCCGGUAAACCUUUAAGUCUUUGGAUUCCGGGGGUAGCAUGUUUGCAAAGCUAAAAGUAAAAGGCUUUGACGGAAGGGCACCACCAGGAGUGGAGUCUGCGGCUUUAUUUGACUUCACACGGGAAAACUCACCCGGCCCGUACACUGUGAGGAUUUACAAAUUGAUGAGUCUUUCUUGAUUUGAUGGUUGGUUGUGCAUGGCCGUUCUUAGAUAAUGGAGCGAUUUGUCUGGUUAAUUCCGAUAACGAACGAGACUCUAGCUUGCUUAUUUGAGCGCUUGUCCUCUGUUCCUGCGCUGGCCGCGUUUUGGUAUU
rnacentral:ncRNA from 1 species